UGCCAGUUUCAUCCGCAAUCAAGACAUGGCAUCCUAUGGAACAUGGCUGGAAGAGAUGCAGCAGCACGAGGAAGAAGAGCUUAGGCAGACAGGGAGGAGCUGCCCUGAACAUCAUGCAGCGGGCCUAUAGACAUCGGAAGAAAGGCAGGGUCCAGCGCUUUUUGAGGAGGAUGCUCCACUGCGUUCACAGGGAACCUUACCCGAAGGACUUCCUGAGCUGCAUGCCAGAACAUCCGGAGUAGCGCCAAGGCAACGUGGACACCAGAGUUGUGCUGCAGAGAUACCAUCUUCUGCUCUCCGCAGGAUCCAGUCUGGACCAGCGCCAGGAACAUCAACACCAUCAGGAUCGACCAAG